rnacentral:lncRNA from 1 species
GGCAUUCACUCCCAGCCUCGUAGAAUCCUGGCCCUCCCACUUGGGUGUGGCUGGGUGGGUUCUCACCCAGCCCCUGUUUGCGUUCCAGCACAGGAACCAAGGAAACGCCAUCCAGUGAGAAGAACAGUAGGACCAACUAGGACUGCAGAAUCGGCUUUUGACAGCAAAGACAUUUUCAUUACGGCUGGUCUCACUCACGUACUCUGCGGCCACCUGGCAGAGCAGGCGUGGGCUAGACUCUCACAUGUCUGGAGCCUUUGUUGCGACAUCUGGGCCGACUGGGCUCUGUUGAAUAUGUAUGGUCUCUCAUCCUUCAAGAGGCUAGCCCAGGCUUGCACACUCUGAAGAGGCAGCCAGCUGCAAUGUGAGUGCUUCUACCACUUGAGCUUGGAGCUAUUCAACCAUCACUUUCAGCGAUGUCAGCUGCCAUGGCAACUCCAAAGGCCAUCCAUCCCAAGGAUAGAGGCUGGAAGGAGCUGCAAAGUUCCUUGACAAAGACCAUGGACACAGGGAGAGGUGAGGAACCUACACAUUGCAUGCUCACAACCCUAAUGGUCCAGGCUCUUUCUGCCUGCUCCGCAUUCCCAUCACAGGCCCAACUACAUCUCUGUAGUAAACAGGGGCACCAAGCUCAGGAGCCACUCUCUCGUGCUCCACAUCAGGACCAAAUGCAGCUCUUCUUGAUCCAGACUCCAAUGGACAAGUUAUCCACUAAGGGCAACUACAAAAGUCACAGGUACUUAGCUUGGAGAGAAGAGAGAGCCAUGGCAACAGCCAGCCUAUAGCAAUUCUGAAACCUUGUUACAAAGAUGCUUCUAGUUAUUAUUCCUGGGUGUGGAGAAGUUCUCCAAUCAGUCCAAAGAUUUAUGUCAUAGCCAUUCUCCACGGCACCUGCCUCUUGUGAUGUCUUCCCCUUUCUGCCAUCCUUCAUGCCUCUUCUCAUAUGUUGUAAGAUACAUCCUUAUUUAUUUAUGUGUAUGAGUAGCUGUCUUCAGACACACCAGAAGAGGGCAUUGGAUCCCAUUUCAGAAGGUUGUGAGCCACGGUGCGAUUGCUGGGACUUGAACUCAGAACCUCUGGAAGAACAGUCAGUGCUCUUAACCACUGAGCCAUCUCUCCAGCCCCCAGAAAACCCUUAUUCAUUUUAUAUUUAUGAGUACACUGUUGCUGUCUUCGGACACACCAGAAAAGGGCAUCUGAACCCAUUACACAUGGUUGUGAGCCACCAUGUGGUUGCUGGGAAUUGAACUCUGGACUUCGGGAAGUCAGUGCUCUUAACUUCUGAGCCAUCUCUCCAGCCCCCUUUUUAUAUUUUGAACCUCAUGGAAUCAUUCACUUCCUUGUGACAACACAGCUUUCUAAACAUUAUUCAUCUGACUGCGUUGGUUGCACUCCAUACACCAGAAGACAAACCAGCAAAAACCAGUUCCAUCUUGUCAGCCCUCUUUGUAAUAGUGUUUUCGAACGGGGUAGCUCACGCACUGGGUUUAUGUUCACUCGUAGCACCUUAUCAAUGUUAUUUCAGCUUUAAGUUGACUGAGACGGUGGUGGUUUCAAAAAGCUUGGCCCAUGGGAAGUGGCACCAUUAGGAGGUGUGGCCUUGUUGGGAUAGGUGUGGCCUUGUUGGAGGAAGUGUGUCACUGUGCUAGGCAGGCUUUGAGGGUGACUAGCACUCAAGCUCUACUCAGUGUGUAAGAGACCCUCCUGCUGGCUGCCUGUGGAUGCCAGUCUCCUGCUGCCGCCUUUGAAUCAAGAUGUAGAACUCUUGGCUCUCCCAGCCCCAUGCCUGCCUGGAUGCUGCCAUGCUUCCCGCCAUGAUGAUAAUAGACUGAACCUCUGAAAUUGUAAGCCAGCCCCAAUUAAAUGUUUUCUUUUAUAAGAGUUAUCUUGGUCAUGGUGUCUCUUCGCAGCAGUAAAGCCCUAACUAAGACAGAUAUUUUCAAUAUUCUGCCUGGAAACGUCUUUGCACAAGACCAGGGAUUCAUUAGGUAGAUGCUGUAUUUCCCCAGUCACUGUGGCCAAUGGUUUUACCAAAUGAUUCCCCACUGUGUAACAUGGGCUGCCAUCCCCCCCCCCCCCCGGUCUCCUAUAGACAUUUUCUUGCAAUGUAGUUUUUCAG